UACAGAGGUCCCAAGCGUUGUUCGGAUUCACUGGGCGUAAAGGGUGCGUAGGUGGUGAGGGAAGUUGGGUGUGAAAGCUCGGGGCUUAACCCCGAAACGGCAUUCAAAACUCCUUUGCUCGAGGGUCGGAAGGGAGACUGGAAUUCUCGGUGUAGCGGUGAAAUGCGUAGAUAUCGAGAGGAACACCAGUGGCGAAAGCGAGUCUCUGGACGACUCCUGACACUGAGGCACGAAAGCUAGGGGAGCAAACAGG
rnacentral:rRNA from 1 species